rnacentral:rRNA from 1 species
CUAGUUGGUAAGGUAAUGGCUUACCAAGGCUACGAUGUUUAGGGGAUCUGAGAGGAUGACCCCCCACACUGGUACUGAGACACGGACCAGACUCCUACGGGAGGCAGCAGUAAGGAAUAUUGGUCAAUGGGCGGAAGCCUGAACCAGCCAUGCCGCGUGCAGGAAGACGGCCCUACGGGUUGUAAACUGCUUUUGUACCGGAAUAAACCUCAUUAUGUAUAAUGAGCUGAAUGUACGGUAAGAAUAAGGAUCGGCUAACUCCGUGCCAGCAGCCGCGGUAAUACGGAGGAUCCAAGCGUUAUCCGGAUUUAUUGGGUUUAAAGGGUGCGUAGGCGGCCUGUUAAGUCAGGGGUGAAAGACGGUAGCUCAACUAUCGCAGUGCCCUUGAUACUGAUGGGCUUGAAUGUACUAGAGGUAGGCGGAAUGUGACAAGUAGCGGUGAAAUGCAUAGAUAUGUCACAGAACACCAAUUGCGAAGGCAGCUUACUAUGGUAUGAUUGACGCUGAGGCACGAAAGCGUGGGGAUCAAACAGGAUUAGAUACCCUGGUAGUCCACGCCCUAAACGAUGAAUACUCGAUGUUAGCGAUAUACAGUUAGCGUCAAAGCGAAAGCGUUAAGUAUUCCACCUGGGGAGUACGCCCGCAAGGGUGAAACUCAAAGGAAUUGACG